rnacentral:tRNA from 1 species
GGACUGAACUUGAGUGGUCUUGGGUGCGGGCUUCAAACCCGUAGACGCCUGACGGCGUAGAGGUUCGAUUCCUCCUGGCC